rnacentral:rRNA from 1 species
AUUGAACGCUGGCGGCAUGCCUUACACAUGCGAGUCGAACGGCAGCACGGGUGCUUGCACCUGGUGGCGAGUGGCGAACGGGUGAGUAAUACAUCGGAACAUGUCCUGUAGUGGGGAAUAGCCCGGCGAAAGCCGGAUUAAUACCGCAUACGAUCUACGGAUGAAAGCGGGGGACCUUCGGGCCUCGCGCUAUAGGGUUGGCCGAUGGCUGAUUAGCUAGUUGGUGGGGUAAAGGCCUACCAAGGCGACGAUCAGUAGCUGGUCUGAGAGGACGACCAGCCACACUGGGACUGAGACACGGCCCAGACUCCUACGGGAGGCAGCAGUGGGGAAUUUUGGACAAUGGGCGAAAGCCUGAUCCAGCAAUGCCGCGUGUGUGAAGAAGGCCUUCGGGUUGUAAAGCACUUUUGUCCGGAAAGAAAUCCUUGGCCCUAAUACGGUCGGGGGAUGACGGUACCGGAAGAAUAAGCACCGGCUAACUACGUG